rnacentral:lncRNA from 1 species
CCCCAAUUCUUGUUGCAACACAGUGCAGUGGAGCUGAGGGCCCCACACAGAUGCGGCAGCAGCAGUGCUGAGUUCCAGGCCUGCCACAUAGAUGGUCCUGGACCUAAAGCCCGAGGAGGUUAGACCACAAGAAGGCAGACAGCCUGCACAACACCACCAAUUGGGAAGUAAGGCUUCACAUGGAUGCAAAUACCCAAAACAUGCUUGGGCUGAAUCAUACAGCAAGGGACAAAUGUUAGUGAGGAUGAAAUGUUGUCACCGUCAGCCCAAGGGUGGGAACGUAGCCAGUGGCUAAAAGACAGAAACAUGAGCUUUGUCUGG